rnacentral:rRNA from 1 species
AGAGUUUGAUCCUGGCUCAGGACGAACGCUGGCGGCGCGCCUAACACAUGCAAGUCGAACGAGCGAGAGAGAGCUUGCUUUCUCGAGCGAGUGGCGAACGGGUGAGUAACGCGUGAGGAACCUGCCUCAAAGAGGGGGACAACAGUUGGAAACGACUGCUAAUACCGCAUAAGCCCACAGCUCGGCAUCGAGCAGAGGGAAAAGGAGCAAUCCGCUUUGAGAUGGCCUCGCGUCCGAUUAGCUAGUUGGUGAGGUAAUGGCCCACCAAGGCGACGAUCGGUAGCCGGACUGAGAGGUUGAACGGCCACAUUGGGACUGAGACACGGCCCAGACUCCUACGGGAGGCAGCAGUGGGGAAUAUUGCACAAUGGGGGAAACCCUGAUGCAGCGACGCCGCGUGGAGGAAGGAGGUCUUCGGAUUGUAAACUCCUGUUGUUGAGGAAGAUAAUGACGGUACUCAACAAGGAAGUGACGGCUAACUACGUGCCAGCAGCCGCGGUAAAACGUAGGUCACAAGCGUUGUCCGGAAUUACUGGGUGUAAAGGGAGCGCAGGCGGGAAGACAAGUUGGAAGUGAAAUCUAUGGGCUCAANCCAUAAACUGCUUUCAAAACUGUUUUUCUUGAGUAGUGCAGAGGUAGGCGGAAUUCCCGGUGUAGCGGUGGAAUGCGUAGAUAUCGGGAGGAACACCAGUGGCGAAGGCGGNCUACUGGGCACCAACUGACGCUGAGGCUCGAAAGUGUGGGUAGCAACAGGAUUAGAUACCCUGGUAGUCCACACCGUAAACGAUGAUUACUAGGUGUUGGAGGAUUGACCCCUUCAGUGCCGCAGUUAACACAAUAAGUAAUCCACCUGGGGAGUACGACCGCAAGGUUGAAACUCAAAGGAAUUGACGGGGGCCCGCACAAGCAGUGGAGUAUGUGGUUUAAUUCGACGCAACGCGAAGAACCUUACCAAGUCUUGACAUCCUGCGACGCACAUAGAAAUAUGUGUUUCCUUCGGGACGCAGAGACAGGUGGUGCAUGGUUGUCGUCAGCUCGUGUCGUGAGAUGUUGGGUUAAGUCCCGCAACGAGCGCAACCCUUACUGUCAGUUACUACGCAAGAGGACUCUGGCAGGACUGCCGUUGACAAAACGGAGGAAGGUGGGGAUGACGUCAAAUCAUCAUGCCCUUUAUGACUUGGGCUACACACGUACUACAAUGGCGUUAAACAAAGAGAAGCAAGACCGCGAGGUGGAGCAAAACUCAGAAACAACGUCCCAGUUCGGACUGCAGGCUGCAACUCGCCUGCACGAAGUCGGAAUUGCUAGUAAUCGUGGAUCAGCAUGCCACGGUGAAUACGUUCCCGGGCCUGUACACACCGCCCGU